GGUGCAGGGUAACUGUGAGGGGUUGAGCAGUGCUCUGAACCGCCUGGAUAAGAAGAGAGAGGGCCUAGUCAGGGUGGAGGACCUACAGAGUCUGCUCCAGAGAUACAACUGUCCCCUACACAGACACCUGCUCACCCACCUCCUACACACACUCAAGGUUCCAAUGGACAGUGAGGACAGGAAGUUGCAUUAUGUGAACUUCCUGAAGGCGUUUGACCACAGGACAGGGAAGGGAACUGGUCACCACAUUGAUGGAUAUACUCCACAAGGCCUUCUCUGCCUUACAGGAGUGGGAACGGGCGGUCACCCCUUUGGAGUUCCGGCGGGUGCUGGACCAUUUUUGUGCCUGCCUCUCGGACCCCCAGUUCAGAUUCCUGCUCGACAGAAUGAAGCUGAACUGGGAGAACCACACGGUGUACUGGAGAGACUUCCUCAACCAGUUCGACCUAUGCAACCUUGACGUGUGUGUUUGGGUCUGUGUGUGGGGGGGUCCGUACUCUGUGUUUAUACGUAGGCCUUAGCAUGUGCAUUAUGCAUCUGUUUGUAUGUGUGUGUGUGUGUGUGCACACCCCUGAGGAUUGGUUAGACAGAGUGGGUAAGGCAGGAUUCCCCACCCAACCCCAGCCUCUGCCAAUCAGUGAGAAAGGUGUCUCCGCCCGCCUGUACACCAUCACCAAGGAGAGGGUGUACUUGGACCACACCCAUAACGACACCAUCUCCAAAGAGGACUUCAGAAUGAUGUGUGACCGCCAUUUCAUGAGGCUCACCCGUGACCAGUUUGAGAGGGUGUGGGAGAAGCUGCCAGUGAAUGUGCUGGGGGAUCUGGAGUACAGGGAGUUCCUGAAGGACGCCAGUGGACAUCUGACCCAUGAAAUCCGCAUCACCAUCAUCCCCUGGGCUCAUAGAUAUGAUGACACCAUCACCACCAUCCCCUGGGCUCAUAGAUAUGAUGUCACCAUCACCACCAUCCCCUGGCCCCAUAGAUAGGUCAUCAUCCCCACUAGCUCUACAGAGGCCAAAGACUACAGGCAGCAACCUCCAACGCUCAAAGACAGCCCAGAAUGUGUUUGCAUUCGGUGAAGAGUCGGGGAGGUACUCAGAUCCAGACUCAUUGCGGAGAGGAAACUAACGUCCGUGGGUGUGGCGUAGCAUUUGGCCGGAGCAAGGAGUCUGGGUAGCCAGGCAACCAGAGACCCCUUUUGUGCUUAAUGCUGGAACGGUCUUUCAGAACAAGUUCAUAGAACUGCUACUUUACUGAGUUAAACUCAUCAUUUCAUGUGUACAAAAUAGCAACAUGAUUGGAAUGAUUACAUCCAUGCAAUGGUCUUUAGGUGUUUGUUAACUCUGCUCUGUCCUCUCUGGUCUUCUACGGUCCCGAUGCGGUCUGGUUGUGGUUCCCUUGCGGUCCAGGUGAGUGUGGAUGUUUUCAGUAGACAGUGUGUGGAAGCCAUGCUGAGGCUCUAUGACCCGGUACAGCAGUUCUGGCGCUCCAUGAGGCAAAACUUUGUUACCUUCGACCACAACCGCAGUGGCAAAAUCUCCAUCAAGGAAUUCAGAAAGGUGCUAAGGCAGUUCAGUGAACCUAUCCGAGGAGGAAUUCUUCCACCUCACCUCUUUCUUUGACAAGAACACUACGGGAAGAUUCCCUACAAUGAGUUCCUACACUGACCUCUAACUAUGGCCCUACUGUAGGCUCCUGUGAAGGUUUAGCUAGUUAUCACUGAUAAAUCAGUCCAUAUUGAUCGCUAUAAUUUUACUGCACCACUGAGUGAAGGAGGAAUACACAGAAUUAUUACAAAAUCAUGUCAUAUAAAUUAAAACAUAUAAAGUGAUGUAUUAUCAAAAAUAUAUAUUGUUGAGGGUUUUCUCCCAAUAUCUUCCCCUGGCAUUUCUACAGCUUUUUCUCCCUCUAGCAUACCGAUUUAUCUCUCUGCUGUAUGACUUUAUGAUACUGAUUGCUUUCCGAACCAAACCCAACCAAAUAAAGUGCUUUUGGAUGAUG